GGAGCGGUGUCCGAGUGGUUGAAGGAGACGGUCUUGAAAACCGCUGAUCCGCAAGGGUCCGGGGGUUCGAAUCCCCCCUGCUCCG
rnacentral:tRNA from 1 species